rnacentral:rRNA from 1 species
UACGGAGGGUGCAAGCGUUAUCCGGAUUCACUGGGUUUAAAGGGUGCGUAGGUGGGUUGGUAAGUCAGUGGUGAAAUCUCCAGGCUUAACUUGGAAACUGCCAUUGAUACUAUCAAUCUUGAAUACCGUGGAGGUCAGCGGAAUAUGUCAUGUAGCGGUGAAAUGCUUAGAUAUGACAUAGAACACCAAUUGCGAAGGCAGCUGGCUACACGAAUAUUGACACU